GGCUCUUUGCCUAUAUAAGUAUAAAGAGUCGAGCCUGCCCAGUGAGUUUUUUAACGGCCGCGGUACUCUGACCGUGCAAAGGUAGCAUAAUCAUUUGCCUUAUAAUUGAAGGCUAGUAUGAAUGGUUUGACGAGAGCAGCACUGUCUCCUUUUUAUUUUCAAGAACUUAACUUUUAGGUGAAGAGGCCUAAAUUUUAUUGAAGGACAAGAAGACCCUGUCGAGCUUAAAAGACGUUAUAGAGGCUUAAUAUACUUUUAAAUAAAUUUUCUGUUAAGCUUUUUAGUUGGGGCGACUAAGGAACAAAAAAAGCUUCUUUCUAAUAAUAAACAAUCACGUUUAGAUCCGAUAGUAGGCGAUUAAGGGAAUUAGUUACCGCAGGGAUAACAGCAUAAUCUCUCUUGAGAGACCUAAUCGAAAGAGGGGGUUGUGACCUCGAUGUUGGACUAGAAUAUCCUAAAGAUGCAGAAGUCUUCGAGGGUUGGUCUGUUCGACCAUUAAAAUUCU
rnacentral:rRNA from 1 species